UUAUGCAGAAAAAACUUAUAUUGUUAGUUUUUUUAUUACUUAUGAAUUAUUCCACAUCUGUUAAUAAAAUAACAAAGUUCUUAUGAUUUGUAGGAAAUCUUAAUGAUCCUUUUAAUAAAGUAAAAUUCCGUAAACACAUUUUACAUUUAUGUGGUGGGUGUUUGAAGAACCUUCAAAGUGGUUUUGAAAAGUUGUAUGAUGUUUGUUGGAUUUGCCAUAACGCAGACUUUAAAAAGAAAGAUUGGGUGCAGUGUCCACAGUGGUACCAUUGCGAAUGUGCAAUUUCUAUCAAAGACGCAGACGUAAGUGAUAAUUUUCAAUGCCAAAGAAAAAGUAUUUUAAAAACGGCUAUUUUCAUAGCCACAAAUGUUCAAAAAACAUUAAAUGACAUAGAAAGCAAAUUUCUUGAAAGAGAAUUAUCGACUAUAUAUAUUUGGAUUAAAAAUAUUUGACAGUAUAAAUGGAGUUUUAAAAAAUAAUUGCACAUACCACCAAUCAUUGAAAUGGAAAAGUACCUUAAGAAGUAAUGUAUUUUUUGUUUUCUUUGUUUUUCAAACUGUUUAUUAUUUUCAUCAAUGUUGAUGAAUAUGACCAUUAUUAUCAGUUGUAAGUGAUAACUUUCUAUAAUAAAUGAGUUUAAAUGGUAAUGAGUAA